UUAUUUAUUUAUUCUCCCUCUCCUUAUAUAUAUUUUUUUUUUCUAUUUUCUGAUGAUUUUUUUCCUGGGCUGGUGCUGCCCUUUUGUACACGGAGUUGGGGCUGCUGCUGCUGGGAAGGCAGCGAGUUUAAACGCUGUUAAUCACCCAAGCAGAUUUCUUCCCCCCCCUUCUCCCUUCUCUUUCUAAUGUGCCCAAAAGGGGGGUAUAAGUCGCGUUUCUUUGUUCUUGGGUUAUCCAACAUCUGGCUCAGGAGAGACCUGGUUCAUGACUGAGGUGCUCAGGACUUCGUUAGUGUAAAUAAUAAUUACAGGGCAGAAAUAUUCGUCUCAAAAGUCUUCGUGUGUGUGUGUAGGGGUGGGGGGGGGUUGCUAAGCCUUGGCUUCCUUGCAGCUACGGGUAAUUUCCAUAGCGUGGGGAGAUGUUUUCUGUGCACCUCUUCAAGAUUCAGAUCUCGGCUUUAUUUUCUUCUCUCUUCCUCCUCUCCCUCCCCCCCCCCACUGGAAGCAUCUUCGUUAUUUCCAGAAUUUGGGAUUUUUAUCUUGGGAAGGGCAUUGCUGUUCUGGAUUUUGUCUCUCGUGCUGCUGUCCAGGCAGAGUUUUAGAUCCUCUUUCCGCGUCCUGGACACUGUGAGAGUAUUUUCAGUGUUGUGGUGGCCGUGCUCGGGCGUUAUUUUUUCACAGUUUCGCUCGUGACAUCAUGGCAACUUGUGUUCAUCCUUACUUUAGCAGCAGCGUUACCUUCUCUUCUGAUUCAUCUGCAUCACAGUUGCUCAUUUUUAAAACCUGUUACGUUGGACUUUUAAUGCCCAAAUGUUGGGGAAAUAGAUGAGAGAGGGGUCGUUCAGCUUCUUAAUUUAGAUUUUCAUGCCUGUGGUAAAACUGGGAGCAACAGGGUUUUUUUUUUAAAUUGAGGGGGAAAGAGGAAGUAUAUGAUGAUGGUAACUGUGGAAAGGCCAGGAUUAUAUUAACUCUAUUUCGGGUUUUAAUGUCCAUCAUGGAUAAGUGUUGUAGUGUUUAAUUAAAUCAUAUCCUCUUGGAGUUUUCUAUAUGUGUGUUCGUUAUAUAGAGUAUGACAGUUGUUUUUUAUUGUUUUUUUUUUUUACUGUAUCACAGUUGUUUUUCAGAAGUCUCCUGUCAUUUAUGUACAGGCUUUAUGAUGAAUGAAUGACUUUUGCCUUUCCCCAGCAAGCUGGGGAACCCUCUGCCUCCUCCAGUGCGUGUUUUAUGCGGGUUUUUACAAUUUCAUGUGCCACGAUAGCGUCUGCGCUGGACAAAGUGUGUGUGGCCUGAUGUACGUUCACGUUAUACCGGUGGAAUGAAGCCCAGGUCUUGUAAAGCAGUGUUAGUUGGCAGCCUGGAAUAGAGCUGGUGUUUGUGUGGGUGUUGGAAAUAGGAUUUUUGGUGAGGAGCAGUGAACGGUUUCUGCUGAAUCACAAUUUUUCUGUGGACCCCGUUGACUCGUGGCGUUUCACCUCGUUCCCCCUUGUGCCGCGCGGAUGCUCCUUUGGAGGUACCUUGGCCUGGCUGUGCUCUGUCUAACAAGAGUGUGAGUUAUCCUCACACCAGUUUUACGUGGUGGAUGUGGACGUGCCAUCUUGCUCUAGUUGAAGGUGUCGCUGCCCAGGGCAUGGGGGUUUAGAACUUGAUGAUCUUUAAGGUCCCUUCCAACUCUAACCAUUCUAUGAUUCUAUCCCAGCUGGGCUGCCCAGUGUGCCAGAACCAGAAAUACCCUCACCCCAGGAGUAAAUAAGCCAUCCUGACAAAAACCAGUUAUACCAGCAUGAAUAUAUUUAUAUAUCUCCUUAGUGUGUGCUGUGUUGGUCAGAGGUUGCCCUUCUCUUUACCUCUAUGGGGAAAAUGUGUGGCAUAAACUUACUCGUAGAGGAUUAAGCUACAGUGAGCAAAGGCCACUUUGCAUCUGAGCAAGAUUGGCCAUGCAGGUGUUUUACGCGCUGUAAUAUUGCACUUCAAUUAAUUCUCUCCACUUUCCUCGACAAAAGCCCCAGGACGGGUCGGCUGUGCAGAUGUCAGCUUCCAGGCUGCAGGUAUUUUGGCGUGAGGACUGCUUCAAGUGUUGGAAUUUCAUAAUUUUUCUGUCACUCAGGAGCCUGAAUCAUCUUUUCUUAGACUUAAACCAGACGGUUUCACUCCUGGCAAGCUGAAGCCUGGAACAUUUCAGCUUUGCUGCAUCAUGUCAAGUUCUGCUGCCGCGUGCAUGUACAUGCUCCAGGAAUAUUUCCAUUACUGUUUCCACCUGCUCUUCAUUUACCAACGGAGGGAGGUUUCCAGGCAGCUUCUCAGUCUCUGGAAGGCUUUGUGAAUUCUUUUUUUUUGCCUUACCCUCUUAGGAACUGGAAAAGCAUCCUCUAGGAAGGAAGCAGAGUGCAGUGACUCUGCCACGCUCCUGUAUCCCUUUUAUCAAGAAAAUUUUAAUGCAGACUUUUAUACCUAAGAACGUUGCGUGCUGUCAGUAGCAAUCAGCUUGUGUUGAUGAUUUUCAGCGCAAGAAGCACUGUGAAAUUUAGCCUUGGACUUUCAUCUUUCUUACUGCUGCUUCUGAAGUAGAUCCGUAGGGAAAAAAAUAUAAUUAAUAUUUUUGUAUUACUGAUUACCCAGUGCUUGAGUUAUUUAAUAAAAUAAUUUAAAAUGCA